UGGGGAAUUUUGGACAAUGGGCGAAAGCCUGAUCCAGCCAUGCCGCGUGAGUGAAGAAGGCCUUCGGGUUGUAAAGCUCUUUUAGUCGGAAAGAAAGAGUCGCAAUGAAUAAUUGUGAUUUAUGACGGUACCGACAGAAAAAGCACCGGCUAACUACGUGCCAGCAGCCGCGGUAAUACGUAGGGUGCGAGCGUUAAUCGGAAUUACUGGGCGUAAAGCGUGCGCAGGCGGUUAUGCAAGACAGAUGUGAAAUCCCCGGGCUCAACCUGGGAACUGCGUUUGAAACUACAAGGCUAGAGUGCAGCAGAGGGGAGUGGAAUUCCAUGUGUAGCAGUGAAAUGCGUAGAGAUGUGGAAGAACACCGAUGGCGAAGGCAGCUCCCUGGGUUGACACUGACGCUCAUGCACGAAAGCGUGGGGAGCAAACA
rnacentral:rRNA from 1 species